rnacentral:rRNA from 1 species
AUAGCGUAUAUUAACGUUGUUGCAGUUAAAAAGCUCGUAGUUGAAGUGUGGGUGAUCGCUGUUGUGAGACUUCGGUCUCUCGAYAGUAAGUCACCCCCUUCCAGUAUCCAGUAGUGGGUAUUCAGUUACUUACUAYUGUGUGUUGGUCSUUUACUGUGAGAAAAUUAGAGUGUUCAAAGCAGGCGUUUGCUUGAAUAGAUUAGCAUGGAAUAAUAAUUGAAGGCUUUCGUGUUCGAUUUGAUUGGUUUGUUCAUGGAAGCAAGGUUAAAAGGAACAGUUGGGGGUAUUCAUAUUCACUAGUUAGAGGUGAAAUUCUCGGAUUUAUGGAAGAUGAACAAGUGCGAAAGCAUUUACCAAGGAUGUUUUCAUUAAUCAAGAACGAAAGCUAGGGGAUCGAAGAGGAUUAGAUACCCUCGUAGUCUUAGCUAUAAACGAUACCGACUAGGGGUUAGUAGAGGUCAAAGUGUCUUUAUUAGUACCUUAUGAGAAAUCAAAGUCUUUGGGUUCCGGGGGGAGUAUGGUCGCAAGGCUGAAACUUA